UGUUUCUUGACUCACAAUAGAAGUUGU
rnacentral:sRNA from 1 species